rnacentral:lncRNA from 1 species
AUUUCUCCCAUUCUCUUUUCCCCAUCGACUUCGCCUCUCCACAAUUUCCCUUGGCGCUUCAGUUCUCACUCUCUCUCUCCACCUUCCACGGCCGACCACAGGCGCCUUAGCUCACUCUCGUCUCUCUUUGACUUCCACCGUCAACCGACGGCGCCUCAGACUUCACUAUUGUCUCUCUCUGCCUUCCACCGGCAUGCUCACUCUCAUCGCUCGCCUCCCAGGACACAAAUCAUUAAAGUACGUUGUCUAUGCACAUUUAUUUAUUGUUCAUUUGAGUUAUUUUUCCUGUUGUCAAUUUUGAGUUUGCAGAAAACUGGAGAGAAAUGCAUCUGAGGGAAAAACUAAGUAUGUUUUUCAAUUUUGUGUUUAUUUAAAAAUUUAAACAUGGGUUGUUGUUGAAUUUUAUUGUUUAAAGAUUUAUUUUGGAUGUUGGCACUGCCGCACUGAGAACAAUUGAACAAUGGUGUGUAGAUGGUUGGCGAGGGUAAUAAAGUCAUUUGCAAUUGCGUAGAUGGAGGCCAGGAAGUUCAGUACCCAAAAACUGAGACCAAAGCUUUACUAAUGGGCAUUUUGGUUGAAGGUU